rnacentral:rRNA from 1 species
UGGGGAAUAUUGGACAAUGGGCGAAAGCCUGAUCCAGCCAUGCCGCGUGUGUGAAGAAGGUCUUCGGAUUGUAAAGCACUUUAAGUUGGGAGGAAGGGCAUUAACCUAAUACGUUAGUGUUUUGACGUUACCGACAGAAUAAGAACCGGCUAACUCUGUGCCAGCAGCCGCGGUAAUACAGAGGGUGCAAGCGUUAAUCGGAAUUACUGGGCGUAAAGCGCGCGUAGGUGGUUUGUUAAGUUGGAUGUGAAAGCCCCGGGCUCAACCUGGGAACUGCAUCCAAAACUGGCAAGCUAGAGUACGGUAGAGGGUGGUGGAAUUUCCUGUGUAGCGGUGAAAUGCGUAGAUAUAGGAAGGAACACCAGUGGCGAAGGCGACCACCUGGACUGAUACUGACACUGAGGUGCGAAAGCGUGGGGAGCAAACA